AGAUAUAGAGUGUGAGAGAGAAGAGUGGAGGCUGGUUCUCAGGCUCCAGAAGCAUAAGCCUGCAUGGAGCAUAGCGUCACUGAGCAAGACAGGUGUGGAGGAUGAGAAGCGGGCCACAGGAUGGGAAGGGAAUCUGUGUGGAGGCGGUGCCCUAAACAUGCUGCCUUGAGGAGGGACCUCUACAUGGGGUGGCCGGGCACAGCCAGAUGUCCCUGGAGACAGCGCCAUCUGGUGGAACUUCCUGUAACGAUCGAGAUGUUCCGUCUGUGCCGUCCAACAUGGGAGCCAUGCAGGACACAUGGUGACUGAGCACUGGGACUGUGUGCCGCGUGACCAAGAGCAGCUCAGCUCUAAAGUCUCCUCCAGCUUUAUGAUGUCACUUCCUGUAUCUUCUCUACACAUUCUUUCCUUCAGCCUGUUGUUUCCACACUUUUAAGUUGAGAAAAGGUGCUGUUCCUACAACACAGAUCAAGCCACUCCCUUGCUUGAAACACUCCAGUGGCAGUCCACAGCUUCUGGGACAAGAGCCAGCCUGUCACUUGGCAGCAGCCUCUCCAUCUUCGUCUCCAGCCUUACAGUCCGAUCUCAUUAUUUCUAGAUUCCAUACCUGCAAAUUCACCUCUUCACUAAAAUGUGUUUGUAAACCAAA
rnacentral:lncRNA from 1 species